AUUGAACGCUGGCGGCAGGCUUAACACAUGCAAGUCGAGCGGGGAAAGGUAGCUUGCUACUGGACCUAGCGGCGGACGGGUGAGUAAUGCUUAGGAAUCUGCCUAUUAGUGGGGGACAACAUCUCGAAAGGGAUGCUAAUACCGCAUACGUCCUACGGGAGAAAGCAGGGGACCUUCGGGCCUUGCGCUAAUAGAUGAGCCUACGUCGGAUUAGCUAGUUGGUGGGGUAAAGGCCUACCAAGGCGACGAUCUGUAGCGGGUCUGAGAGGAUGAUCCGCCGCACGGGGACUGAGACACGGCCGAGACUCCUACGGGAGGCAGCAGUGGGGAAUAUUGGACAAUGGGGGGAACCCGGAGCCAGCCAUGCCGCGUGUGUGAAGAGGCCUUUUGGUUGUACAGCACUUUAAGCGAGGAGGAGGCUACCGAGAUUAAUACUCUUGGAUAGUGGCCGUUACUCGCAGAAUAAGCACCGGCUAACUCUGUGCCAGCAGCCGCCGUAAUAC
rnacentral:rRNA from 1 species